GAAAUGCAAUAAGUAAUGUGAAUUGCAGAAUUCAGUGAAUCAUCGAAUCUUUGAACGCACAUUGCGCCCGCCAGUAUUCUGGCGGGCAUGCCUGUCCGAGCGUCAUUUCAACCAUCAAGCCCCCGGGCUUGUGUUGGGGACCUGCGGCUGCCCGCAGGCCCUGAAAACCAGUGGCGGGCUCGCUGUCACACCGAGCGUAGUAGCAAUCACCUCGCUCAGGGCGUGCUGCGGGUUCCGGCCGUUAAACAGCCUUACAAAACCCAAGGUUGACCUCGGAUCAGGUAGGAAGACCCGCUGAACUUAAGC
rnacentral:misc_RNA from 1 species